rnacentral:rRNA from 1 species
UGCGGGGGGGGGCAAGCGUUGUUCGGAAUUACUGGGCGUAAAGGGCUCGUAGGUGGCCAACUAAGUCGGACGUGAAAUCCCUCGGCUUAACCGGGGAACUGCGUCCGAUACUGGAUGGCUUGAGUUUGGGAGAGGGAUGCGGAAUUCCAGGUGUAGCGGUGAAAUGCGUAGAUAUCUGGAGGAACACCGGUGGCGAAGGCGGCAUCCUGGACCAACACUGACACUGAGGAGCGAAAGCCAGGGGAGCAAACGGG